rnacentral:rRNA from 1 species
CCUAAAUUAUUAAUAGAUAUAGUCUUUAAAUUUGAAGAAUUUGGCGGUGGUUUAGUCUUGUUAGAGGAACCUGUUUUUGGAUCGAUAUUCCACGUAGAAUUUUACUUGUUUUAUUAGUUUGUAUACCGUCAUUAUCAGAUAAUUUUUAAAGAAUAAAUUAUUGAAAUUUUUAAAAUAUAAAUUAAAUUAGAUCAAGGUGCAGCUUAUGAAUAAGUUAAAAUGGGUUACAAUAAGAUUUAUUUAUAUGGAAAAAUAGUAGGAAGCUACAUUACGAAGGUGGAUUUAAUUGUAAUAGAAGUUUAAUAAGUUAAAAAGAUAUAAGCUCUAAACCAU